rnacentral:rRNA from 1 species
UACGUAGGGGGCAAGCGUUGUCCGGAUUUAUUGGGCGUAAAGAGCGUGUAGGCGGCUAGAUAGGUCCGUUGUGAAAACUCGAGGCUCAACCUCGAGACGUCGAUGGAAACCAUCUGGCUAGAGUCCGGAAGAGGAGAGUGGAAUUCCUGGUGUAGCGGUGAAAUGCGCAGAUAUCAGGACGAACACCCGUGGCGAAGGCGGCUCUCUGGGACGGUACUGACGCUGAGACGCGAAAGCGUGGGGAGCAAACAGG